rnacentral:rRNA from 1 species
GACGAACGCUGGCGGCGUGCUUAACACAUGCAAGUCGAACGGAAAGGCCCUGCUUUUGUGGGGUGCUCGAGUGGCGAACGGGUGAGUAACACGUGAGUAACCUGCCCUUGACUUUGGGAUAACUUCAGGAAACUGGGGCUAAUACCGGAUAGGAGCUCCUGCUGCAUGGUGGGGGUUGGAAAGUUUCGGCGGUUGGGGAUGGACUCGCGGCUUAUCAGCUUGUUGGUGGGGUAGUGGCUUACCAAGGCUUUGACGGGUAGCCGGCCUGAGAGGGUGACCGGCCAAAUUGGGACUGAGAUACGGCCCAGACUCCUACGGGAGGCAGCAGUGGGGAAUAUUGCACAAUGGGCGGAAGCCUGAUGCAGCAACGCCGCGUGCGGGAUGACGGCCUUCGGGUUGUAACCCGCUUUCGCCUGUGACGAAGCGUGAGUGACGGUAAUGGGUAAAGAAGCACCGGCUAACUACGUG